rnacentral:rRNA from 1 species
UGGGGAAUAUUGGACAAUGGGCGAAAGCCUGAUCCAGCCAUGCCGCGUGUGUGAAGAAGGUCUUCGGAUUGUAAAGCACUUUAAGUUGGGAGGAAGGGCAUUAACCUAAUACGUUAGUGUUUUGACGUUACCGACAGAAUAAGCACCGGCUAACUCUGUGCCAGCAGCCGCGGUAAUACAGAGGGUGCAAGCGUUAAUCGGAAUUACUGGGCGUAAAGCGCGCGUAGGUGGUUUGUGAAGUUGGAUGUGAAAGCCCCGGGCUCAACCUGGGAACUGGAUCCAAAACUGGCAAGCUAGAGUACGUUAGAGGGUGGUGGAAUUUCCUGUGUAGCGGUGAAAUGCGUAGAUAUAGGAAGGAACACCAGUGGCGAAGGCGA